rnacentral:misc_RNA from 1 species
UACGCUCACACUCUCUGAUCUUUGGAUUGGGAGUGGUGGAUUUGGGUGUUGCUGCUUCACUGUGGCUCACCUCAAAUGCAUUAGUGCAACUCUUGACUGAACCAUAGUAUGGCAUGAUAAGUAUCUUUGCCAGCACCUCUCAGCAGGAUGGUCAAUCCAGAGCUCUGUGCUUCCAACCGUCCUAGGACAAUCUUUGACA